GACGUAGGGGGCCAGCGUUGCUCGGAAUUACUGGGCGUAAAGGGUUCGUAGGCGGUGUGGCAAGUCGGAAGUGAAAUCUCCAGGCUUAACUUGGAGGCUGCUUCCGAAACUGCCGUGCUAGAGUGCGGGAGAGGCCAGUGGAAUUGCAGGUGUAGCGGUGAAAUGCGUAGAGAUGUGGAGGAAUACCGAUGGCGAAGGCAGCCUCCUGGGAUAACACUGACGCUCAGGCACGAAAGCGUGGGGAGCAAACAGG
rnacentral:rRNA from 1 species